rnacentral:rRNA from 1 species
CCUACGGGGGGCUGCAGUGGGGAAUAUUGCACAAUGGGGGAAACCCUGAUGCAGCGACGCCGCGUGAGCGAUGAAGUAUUUCGGUAUGUAAAGCUCUAUCAGCAGGGAAGAAAAUGACGGUACCUGACUAAGAAGCCCCGGCUAACUACGUGCCAGCAGCCGCGGUAAUACGUAGGGGGCAAGCGUUAUCCGGAUUUACUGGGUGUAAAGGGAGCGUAGACGGCGAUGCAAGCCAGAUGUGAAAGCCCGGGGCUCAACCCCGGGACUGCAUUUGGAACUGUAUAGCUGGAGUGUGUGAGAGGAUAGUGGAAUUCCAGGUGUAGGAGUGAAAUCCGUAGAUAUCUGGAGGAACAUCAGUGGCGAAGGCGACUAUCUGGCACAUAACUGACGCUGAGGAGCGAAAGCGUGGGUAGCAAACAGGAUUAGAUACCCCAGUAGUC